AUGCCGGGCACUGAGCCGGGCGCUGGGAAAACAGUAAUAAACCAGACUGGCACAGACCCAGCCCUGACCCCUUUAAAAUCCUUCAGCGACCACCCCACUAUCCCUCGAGACCUCGUCCGUGUACCUUAUCGGGGCAUCCACAGCAGGAGCCCCCCUGACUUACCCUCGGCAGCCCACGUGGUUCCUCCCCCUACCCACCUCUUCCACCUUCCCCGUCCCCACUCUGCUCUGACACACGGGUGGCCUCUUUACCCCAUCGCACACCAUUCACCUCCUUCUCAGCCCCAGCCCCACCCCCUCUGCCAGCUCCUUUCCAACCUUCCGUCUCAAUUUCGUUGCCUGGUUAACUUAUCCUCGUCUUUUCAGGCUCUGUCCUCGGUCCCCGGCUCCAAGAAGCCUUCCUGCCUCAACCUCCCAGCCAGCGGUGAGCUCCCAGGCCCCCUCUCUGACAGCCCACUGGCUCUCUACGGAUGUAGCUCUCCUCCUGGACUGUGGCUCCCUGAGGGCAGGCCCAGGGGGGUGUAUUCAGCUCUGGAUAAAUCUUCGUGCCCUCUCUGUUCCCCCCAGCUGCCCAUCCACCCAUCCCCAAUCUACCCAUUUUACUUCUCGCAGUGGCCCGAAGGCCCCAGACCCAGCUCAGUGGUCACAGGGGAAUAUACAUCACGGGCACACGCGGGUGCUCUGUUUCACAUCUCUGUAGACACAGGGACGGAGUGUGAUGGGGGAAUCGAUGGAUGUUUGAGGCACCUGAAUACAACAUCCUCAGGGCUCUGGCUCCUGUGGUUGCCGAUGGGGUGGCUGGGACUGCUGGGACCCAGCUCAGUCCCCUCCCCGAGUCCCUGGGCCUCUCGAGGGGUGGGGAGCGGCCCCGGAAAGAGACAACAACCAGAGCUGGAAUCUAACCGGGUGAGCGCCGAGUCCUGGCCCUGGAUCCUCUUUGGGCCUGUUUCCUCAUCUGAAAAAUGUUGUCGUCAGCCUGUCCCUGCCUGCCUUGCAGGCCUGUUGUGA
rnacentral:lncRNA from 1 species